rnacentral:lncRNA from 1 species
CUCUGCCCCUUCUCUGCUUGUGCUCUCUCAUGAAUUAAUUAACACCUUGAUUCUACUUGUAGGCUGGUGACCUGGGUGAGGUGCAUGCACAUGUAUGGAUGAACACAUAGGAUUCUGGGCAGCUCAGUGGAAGCACAGAGAGGUCAUCAGCAUGGGGAUAACCUUACAGAGAGGAGCAUGACAAAGGAAGAAACUGGAACUUUUGGUGAAUGAGAACCUGUCUCCACCACCUCUUUCUAGGAUGACUUCUUUCCCAGAGGUAACUGCUCUCAACUGUUCAAUCCCUUUUCUUACGUAUUUGAAUUUCUAUUUAUUUAUACUUAUAUAGAGAGAGGCA